rnacentral:rRNA from 1 species
GACGAACGCUGGCGGCGUGCUUAACACAUGCAAGUCGAACGGAAAGGCCUGCUUUCCCUUGUGGAUUGCGGGUGCUCGAGUGGCGAACGGGUGAGUAACACGUGAGUGAUCUGCCCCCAACUUGGGUAUAAGCCUGGGAAACUGGGUCUAAUUCCCGAUAGGACUGCAGGGUGGUGCCUGUGGUGGAAAACGAUUUUCUAGUGGUUGGGGAUGAGCUCGCGGCCUAUCAGCUUGUUGGUGGGGUAAUGGCCUACCAAGGCGGCGACGGGUAGCCGGCCUGAGAGGGUGGACGGCCACAUUGGGACUGAGAUACGGCCCAGACUCCUACGGGAGGCAGCAGUGGGGAAUAAUGCACAAGGGGCGGAAGCCUGAUGCAGCGACGCCGCGUGGGGGAUGACGGCCUUCGGGUUGUAAACUCCUUUCGACCGCGAGGAAGCCACCUGGUUGGAAGGGUGGUGACGGUAGUGGUAGAAGAAGCACCGGCUAACUACGUG